rnacentral:rRNA from 1 species
GACGUAGGGGGCAAGCGUUGUCCGGAAUUAUUGGGCGUAAAGGGCACGCAGGCGGUCCGCCACGUUCGAGAUGAAAGUCACCGGCUUAACCGGUGAAGUGCCUUGAAUACGGGUGGGCUUGAGAGCGAGAGAGGAAUCUGGAACUCCGGGUGGAGCGGUGAAAUGCGUAGAGACCCGGAAGAACACCAAAGGCGAAGGCAAGAUUCUGGCUCGUUUCUGACGCUCAGGUGCGAAAGCCAGGGGAG